rnacentral:rRNA from 1 species
AGUCGAGCGCAGGAAGCAAGCUGAUCCCCUUCGGGGGUGACGCUUGUGGAAUGAGCGGCGGACGGGUGAGUAACACGUGGGCAACCUGCCUGUAAGACUGGGAUAACCCCGGGAAACCGGGGCUAAUACCGGAUAAUACUUUCUUUUGCAUAAAGGAAAGUUGAAAGGCGGCUUCGGCUGUCACUUACAGAUGGGCCCGCGGCGCAUUAGCUAGUUGGUGAGGUAACGGCUCACCAAGGCGACGAUGCGUAGCCGACCUGAGAGGGUGAUCGGCCACACUGGGACUGAGACACGGCCCAGACUCCUACGGGAGGCAGCAGUAGGGAAUCUUCCGCAAUGGACGAAAGUCUGACGGAGCAACGCCGCGUGAGUGAUGAAGGUUUUCGGAUCGUAAAACUCUGUUGUUAGGGAAGAACAAGUUGGAUAGUAACUGACCCAACCUUGACGGUACCUAACCAGAAAGCCACGGCUAACUACGUGCCAGCAGCCGCGGUAAUACGUAGGUGGCAAGCGUUGUCCGGAAUUAUUGGGCGUAAAGCGCUCGCAGGCGGUCCUUUAAGUCUGAUGUGAAAUCUCGCGGCUCAACCGCGAACGGUCAUUGGAAACUGGAGGACUUGAGUACAGAAGAGGAGAGUGGAAUUCCACGUGUAGCGGUGAAAUGCGUAGAGAUGUGGAGGAACACCAGUGGCGAAGGCGACUCUCUGGUCUGUAACUGACGCUGAGGAGCGAAAGCGUGGGGAGCGAACAGGAUUAGAUACCCUGGUAGUCCACGCCGUAAACGAUGAGUGCUAGGUGUUAGGGGGUUUCCGCCCCUUAGUGCUGAAGUUAACGCAUUAAGCACUCCGCCUGGGGAGUACGGCCGCAAGGCUGAAACUCAAAAGAAUUGACGGGGGCCCGCACAAGCGGUGGAGCAUGUGGUUUAAUUCGAAGCAACGCGAA